GAGCAACAAGUGCGUCAGUACGCUUCAGCAGCCAGUCUCUCACUGUUUACAACAGAGAAUUAUAACGACAUCUGCUGUAGAGUCCCAACCCCCUGGGACCUGCAAACAACAAUGUCACAAAGAAGGAUUUCAAUGUUUUUUGCUCCAAAAGUGGUUGGCAGCCAAGGAGGUAUGAUAGCAGAUAAGGAUGCAGUCAGGGUUCAUGCAGGAGACCAAAGGGAGGAGAGUGCAAGUUCAGGUACCUGUAGGCUAUGUUAAGAGUGUCUAUGUAACAAAGUCGACCUGGUGAAUUCCCUCUCAGUAUAAAAAGAGGUAAAGACCUCCCACUUGCGCCAAAAAAUAGGUUGUUUUGUCCUUGGCAUAACUAAUAGCACACACGUUUAUUUGGUGGUCAAUUGUG